CCGGCGCUGGCGGGGCCGGGCUGGGCGGCGGGGCCCGCGGAGCGGAGCCGGCCCUACGCCGUGCUGCGGAGACAGAACCUGGUGCUCAUGGGGAGCGUUUUCAGUAUCCUGUUAAUCACCAUGAUCCUGAUGGCAGUAUGCGUCUACAAGCCCAUUCGACGACGGUAGCAGAGCGGGAAGAAUCGGAACGGAUUGGUCACCUUGCUUGUGGAAAUUUUGCGAUCAAAUCCCUGGUGCUUGAACAUGACCUGUGCUGUGCAGCAACCGUAAAUCCAGCCUGAUUUGUAGUCUGAGUUCUGGCUUGUAAACCACUACGGCUGCUUAGUAAAAAGACCGUGAGAAGUUUUUUUGUUUUUUUUCUUCCCCUCUAACAUGUAAUGUAACCAGUUGUUUCCCUUGCAGAAGCAUGCCUACAACUGCUUGGCUCCUCGCAAAGACACCAUAGCUAGAAUCUGAAAAUCUCCUCCCAGAUCUCUAGCAAUUAGUAGCUCAACAGAGGUCUAUCUCUUCAAACAUGGAUGCCUAAAGUUAGACACUUACAUAAAUGUGGCCUCACUCUGGCAAAUUGUAUGUCAGUGACUAAUUCUAAGUACUCAUGUUUGAAAAUGUUAGCUGUAAACUUCAGUUAGUAUUUGGCCUAACUCUGAUAGGAAAGGCUAGGAAUAUGUGAAGUAUUUUACUUUGGUAUUGCCCACAGGAAGACCCUACCACUUAGACUUGCUGUAUUUCUGAAUUCUGUUCUCAAUUCCUGGGUGGGAAUAUGACAUGAGUAACCCUCAUGAUACUCCUUAAACACAGCCUCUAAGUGAUCCUAACAUGAAAACAAUGUACUUUAGAUAAUGUGGUUCAUGUGCCAUUUUUGGCAGCAAGGCUGAUUACAAUUUCAGCUGUUUCAAAUGUCAAAGUUUUCUCAAUCUAGUCUGUCAAAUACCCAGUGGACUACAGUGUGGUGGUAUCAGAAACAAAGUUAAAUGGAAAGCUUAUAACUUUUGAUUUGUUCUAAAAAUCAUAAUUUUGCAAGCAGGCAAGUGCAUUGGAUUCUGAUGUAUUGAUUGGUUUUGCAGUCUUAAGGAAUGCAACUCUCCACUCAAGCAUGAAGUCUUCUAUCAGGUUUCUAGAGUGAGUCUUAUAAAAGUCAGUCAAAAGAUGAGGGCUUGAACAUGCUCUAGUCAUGAACUUGGCUUUGUAGGGCUGGCCUACGCACACAUUUGAAUUGAAAUAGAAGUAUGAAUUAAAGCUGAUUUCAUUAUUUUGGGGGUGUGUUGGUUUGUUACUGACUUUAGCUGCUUUUAUUCUGAAAUAAGUGGCUACACUCAGACUUGUACCAAAAUAGCUAUGUUGGUUUUAGGAAUCCGGUCCAAGUUUUUUUUGUAGACCAGACCCCAGGGCUGAACAAAUGUUCAUGUCCUUAAAUGUGUAAUAGGUUUGGGCUCAGUAGAUGAAAUGACUAACAGUGUAAACUUCAGCCCCUUAAAUAUUUCCAAGAAAGUCAGUCAUGGUUGAGUGACUGUCACUUUAAUAAGAUUAAGGGACUGUCACUUUCAAAACCUUGUGAAAAUGUUGUGUGUUUAAGUUAUGUGCAGCUCUCAGUUAUGUGAAUUGUAUGUGAUAAGUGUUUACACUGGCAAAUCCCACUUGCAUAUAAAUGCUGCUAUUUUAUUUUGCACUAGUAUAAGUGUUAGUUGGAUUUUUCUUGUUUGUUAUUUAACAAAGGACUGCUUUGGUGGUGGUAAUUUAUUUUAGAAUAUUUUAAUUUCACAUGAGGAACAACUCCCUGCAUCUCUCUUCUAUUGUUUUCAACUUUCUGCUGUGGCUUAUGUAAGUAACAACUGCUGGCUCCAUUUCAUUUAAAGGGAUGAGGUGACGGCUGGUGAAAGUAAUGAUGACUUUUUGCUGCUUGUCUGUAUUGUAAUAAGAUGAUGUUUGUACCCUGCAAUUCCCAGCCUUUAAGUAAAAUAUGAGCUAAAGUGAGAGUAAACUGGUGGUAAGUUUUAGUUCUUGCUGCUCCUUUUUCUGUUUUGUAAAUUGUAUCAGCUGAAUCAUCUGUCUACUCUCUGUCUGUCUUCAUUUCACCUAAGAUUACACUUUCAUCUUCGUUAGCGUGGUAGUGAGGGAAAGUCCAGCUGCACUCAAGGUUAUAGGCUUGUAGCUACAAGCCUAUAACCUUAUCUGCUUGCUUGGAGUGAUAUUCUUGUUUACAUUCCCCACUCCUAGCUACCUCCCUUAUUGUACAAAUAAAAAGCUAACCCAA